AUCUCGGCUCUGUGUGUUAAUCGGCUUUUUUGCACACCGGGUGAAAGAAUCCUGAUUUUUGGGACAACAGUAGUGGCUACACUUAAUUCUCAGUCUUCCAAAGAAGAGCAUAAUGAACUCUGAAGGGAGGAUUUCUCUGAAGGGCCUGAAUUUGCGUGGGUGAAGAGAACAGGCAGAAGCAGGAUCAAUGUCCCGGAUCAAGCGCUGAAGAAACAGUGUUUUAUGUUUUCCAAGUAACACCUUUUAUCCUCAAGGGGAGCAAUCAAGAGCAAAGUUAUCCAUACAGCCCCUUCAGAGAUCCUUUGGAGGAGAGAGCAAAACAGUGGGCAGAACCAAAAAGGAAGCACAGGACCUCUCUGAAAAACAUCAGUUCUAGCAGAGUUGCAGAGUUCGUACUUGCAAGUGAAUUCCUUGCCUUGCAACAGGGUAAUAAAUCUGUGAACAAACAUCAUACAUGUUCCUACCCACAAUAUCUACAGAGAAUUUUGCUCUGCAAUGAGAGGGGCCAAAGGAGACCAACGUACAAUGAAAAUACCCUUGAAAUGACGGCUAACAGUUAGAGAACCUUCCUCCCCAAUGCAAGCUAUGUGCAAUAAAAUCAGUAUAUCGCCUCUUGUUUCUCUCCUUCCCUCCUCUCGCUACAUUAAUAGCACUGCCCUGGAGGUUUUGGAACAAGAUCAGCUACAUACAUAUACAAUUGAGUAUGUACAAUUGGGGAAGGAAAACCACUCCCUAUCUAAAGAAAAAGUCUCUUACGUUUUCAUCAAACAUGGAAUAUUUGUCAUGUUCUGACUUAAACAUUUCAUGUGGUGGAAUCUUCAUUUUUGCGAGUUUUGCUGCCUGUAAUAUAAAAUGUGCAUUAACAUCACAGUUAAUUACUGACAACCUAUCCCAUAUGCAAAAGGAAAAGUAGACUAUAAUUUGCAAAUCAAAGAGCAUUUAGUUCACAAUUGUUUAUCAUGUGAAAAGAAACUUUCAGUGAGGAACAACUCAAUAAGUCUUAGCUGUGCUUGUCCAGGGGAAAAAAAAAGUGUUUUAAAUCUGUAGAGAACCACUUAAUAAAAUAUAUUGCAGGAACUCAAAAUAACUGGCUUAUAUACUCCAAAAACUACAUCUGAUUUUUGCUAAUUUGGUUCCUUAGCGUUUUAGGUGCAAAUACAAAGUGAAUAGUUGCUAUGAGUAAAGAAUAUUCAGCAAUUAACUCACUGCAAAGGGAACCACCUUUAUCAACAGUUUCCUGCUGACAAGCACAGGUUUCUAUGCAGAUCACAGCAGGGUCAGGAUGCAAGUAAUUGCACUGAAAAUAAACUGAACUUUCACUUAUCUGUAAACAAGCACAUCUCAGAAUCCUUUCCAAGUAAUUUAUGCCCAAUACAAGGGAAUCACAUUUUUGAAAGAAUGCAAAAAGCUACUUGGAAUUUGUGGAUGAUAAAUGCUAUUUAUCUGGUUUUCUCUCUGCACAUGGUGCUCUCUAAAAGUUUCCUUCCUCUUUUAACCCAGGAACGCAUUUCCGGUACUGUUAGAGUCAUCAGCAUGGCAAACAAUCUUUUCUUCUUAUGAGUUUAUCUCCUCUGGCUGUCUAUUCCUUAUCCAAAGCCUAAAACCUUUGAGCUACCUCAAUUCCAACUGUAGAGAUAAAACACGUUUUUACAAAACGUUACAUUUCAGAGUUCAAUCACAGGGAACAGGUGGAUUCUUAAAGAGAAAAACGUGUUCACACAUACCUACAAUACUGGAAAGGGAAGAAAAUAAUAAAUGACACAAGCAAAAUCUUCUCUAACAGGCAUGUAAGAUACUACUUUGGCAAUUAAGGAAGUAAUUCUGCCUAUAGACUGAAAUAAGUGCUACAAGUUCUUCCAAGAAGCUUCUGCAGCCUUUAGUUGUGUUUUCAAAGAUGGCUUCUCUAUAAUAGGAGCUGAAAAUUCAAAUCUGAACUGCAAGCCAGAGUCAUUCUGAGCAGGAAAUUGUAGACAAAAAAAAAAAUGAAUGGAGGCCCAGUUAAGGCCGGGCAGAGAGCCUGCGUUCUAAUGUAAUCUCUCCUGCAUGUGACUAUUGCUGCUAACACUUUUCUUCAAAACCAGAUUAAAAGGAUCUGAACACUUA